AAAAGUGAAAGACGGUCUUGCUGUCACUUAUAGAUGGAUCCGCGCUGCAUUAGCUAGUUGGUAAGGUAACGGCUUACCAAGGCAACGAUGCAUAGCCGACCUGAGAGGGUGAUCGGCCACACUGGAACUGAGACACGGUCCAGACUCCUACGGGAGGCAGCAGUAGGGAAUCUUCCGCAAUGGGCGAAAGCCUGACGGAGCAACGCCGCGUGAGUGAUGAAGGUCUUCGGAUCGUAAAACUCUGUUAUUAGGGAAGAACAUAUGUGUAAGUAACUGUGCACAUCUUGACGGUACCUAAUCAGAAAGCCACGGCUAACUACGUGCCAGCAGCCGCGGUAAUACGUAGGUGGCAAGCGUUAUCCGGAAUUAUUGGGCGUAAAGCGCGCGUAGGCGGUUUUUUAAGUCUGAUGUGAAAGCCCACGGCUCAACCGUGGAGGGUCAUUGGAAACUGG
rnacentral:rRNA from 1 species